AGCGAACGCUGGCGGCAGGCUUAACACAUGCAAGUCGAGCGGGCGUAGCAAUACGUCAGCGGCAGACGGGUGAGUAACGCGUGGGAACAUACCUUUUGGUUCGGAACAACACAGGGAAACUUAGUGCUAAUACCGGAUAAGCCCUUACGGGAAGGAUUAUCGCCGAAGAUUGGCCCGCGUCUGAUUAGCUAGUUGGUGAGGUAACGGCUCACCAAGGCGACGAUCAGUAGCUGGUCNGAGAGGAUGAUCCGCCACAUUGGGACUGAGACACGGCCCAAA
rnacentral:rRNA from 1 species